rnacentral:tRNA from 1 species
GGAAGUGCGAAGCUCACUGGUGGGGCUCCCGGACUUCAAAUCCGGUGUAGGGCGUUAACACCGUCCUAGGUGGGUUCGAUUCCCAUGCACUUCCGCCA